GUCGUCCUCGGGACGUUAAGGUGCUCUGGUCGAGGAUAAACGACCCCUCUGACCGAGGUUAAGUGGUCGCUGUGUUACCUCUUGGUCGAGGCACACGUUAAAGAUCGUUCCGCGUUGUGAGUCUAACAACUUGUAAACUUUUACAACCGGCAGCGCUGGAUCCCUUGGCACGUCAUUCGAUGAAGACCGUUGCAAAUUGCGAUAAAGUGAUGUGAUGCGCAAGUCCACCACUUAUACGUGAAUCAUCGAGUUGUUGAACGCAUUGCACCGCGCCCUAAUCCGGCUGCGGUAUGCCCCUUUGAGCGUCAUUUAUUCCUUCGGGAGUCUUUCCUUGCGAAAGACCCGAGUUCGGAGUCCUCGGUCUUUGGAUCGUGUUCUCUUAGAUGCGUCGCGCCGAUCGCCUGAUGGGUACUCUAAUGCCUGAGCGUGGAGUCCCUCUGGAGUUGAGACGUGCUUGACCGGCCGUUGGGCUCGCGUCACCAAGUCCGCGUCCUUUGGGACGGCGGUACUACAACGCAUGACCUCAUUGGGGUAGGACAACCCGCUAGACUUAAGCAUAUUAAUCAGCGGAGGAAAAGAAACAACCAGGAU
rnacentral:rRNA from 1 species